AGCGAACGCUGGCGGCAGGCCUAACACAUGCAAGUCGAACGGACCUUUCGGGGGUUAGUGGCGGACGGGUGAGUAACACGUGGGAACGUGCCUUUAGGUUCGGAAUAGCUCCUGGAAACGGGUGGUAAUGCCGAAUGUGCCCUUAGGGGGAAAGAUUUAUCGCCUUUAGAGCGGCCCGCGUCUGAUUAGCUAGUUGGUGAGGUAAUGGCUCACCAAGGCUACGAUCAGUAGCUGGUCUGAGAGGAUGACCAGCCACAUUGGGACUGAGACACGGCCCAAACUCCUACGGGAGGCAGCAGUGGGGAAUCUUGCGCAAUGGGCGAAAGCCUGACGCAGCCAUGCCGCGUGGAUGAUGAAUGUCUUAGGAUUGUAAAAUCCUUUCACCGGUGAAGAUAAUGACUGUAGCCGGAGAAGAAGCCCCGGCUAACUUCGUGCCAGCCGCCGCGGUAA
rnacentral:rRNA from 1 species